AUGAAGACCUUCCUCAUCUUUGCCCUCCUCGCCGUUGCGGCGACAAGUGCCAUUGCACAAAUGGAGACUAGCCACAUCCCUAGCUUGGAGAAACCAUUGCAACAACAACCAUUACCACUACAACAAAUAUUAUGGUACCAACAACAACAACCCAUCCAACAACAACCACAACCAUUUCCACAACAGCCACCAUGUUCACAGCAACAACAACCACCAUUAUCGCAGCAACAACAACCACCAUUUUCACAACAACAACCACCAUUUUCGCAGCAACAACAACCCAUUCUACCGCAACAACCACCAUUUUCGCAGCAACAACAACAAUUUCCGCAGCAACAACAACCACUUUUACCGCAACAACCACCAUUUUCGCAGCAACAACCACCAUUUUCUCAGCAGCAGCAACAACCACCAUUUUCGCAGCAACAACAACAACCAAUUCUACUGCAACAACCACCAUUUUCACAACACCAACAACCAGUUCUACCGCAACAACAAAUACCAUCUGUUCAGCCAUCUAUCUUGCAGCAGCUAAACCCAUGCAAGGUAUUCCUCCAGCAGCAAUGCAGCCCUGUGGCAAUGCCACAAAGUCUUGCUAGGUCGCAAAUGUUGUGGCAGAGUAGUUGCCAUGUGAUGCAGCAACAAUGUUGCCGGCAGCUGCCGCAAAUCCCCGAACAAUCACGCUACGAUGCAAUCCGUGCCAUCAUCUACUCGAUCGUCCUACAAGAACAACAACAUGGUCAGGGUUUGAACCAACCUCAGCAGCAACAACCCCAACAGUCGGUCCAAGGUGUCUCCCAACCCCAACAACAACAGAAGCAGCUCGGACAGUGUUCUUUCCAACAACCUCAACAACAACAACUGGGUCAAUGGCCUCAACAACAACAGGUACCCCAGGGUACCUUGUUGCAGCCACACCAAAUAGCUCAACUUGAGGUGAUGACUUCCAUUGCACUUCGUACCCUGCCAACGAUGUGCAGUGUCAACGUGCCGGUGUACGGCACCACCACUAUUGUGCCAUUCGGCGUUGGCACCCGAGUUGGUGCCUACUGAUAA
rnacentral:rRNA from 1 species